rnacentral:tRNA from 1 species
AGGAGCAUAGCUAAGUGGUAGAGCAUAUGCUUAGCAUGUACACAAAUCCUGGGUUCAAUCCUCAGUACUCUCU